rnacentral:rRNA from 1 species
AAAUCGUCGAAUAACACAUAAAAGUGGUGUCGUAACCACCAAUUACCACCAUGCCCACCCGUGAUGGACAUGGGCAUGGCAACUAGCGUAGUGGUUACGACUAAUUCCACGAUUAUCACGACACAAACAGUGAUAAUCGUCCAAGAUGGGAGUUGUAAACGUCUCUUUGUGGUGGAGAAGAAGGUCUAGAAUAAAGACCCCUCUUGAGCUAUAGAAUUGAGGUUUAGGGUAUGGAUGAAGAUUAUUCGUAGUUAAAAUAGGAUGGAAGGGCUUAACGGACACGGAGUACAAAUAUGAGAAAAAGCAGACGAUUGAGUUGUACCUUUUGUAUCAGGGUGUGAGGAAAAGAAUAGGUAUUCUAGUUCCCGAAUGGAAGUGAUCUCCCACUUUGUUAGAUCUUUCGUUGUAUUGAAAGAUAGAACUGAUGAGGAGAGGUUAUAUACCACCCAGACUUCCCGAUAACUGGUUUCUCGAUGGAGGCACAUAGUGCCAAUUUGUCUAACCCUUGGGUAUAAGCUCAUGGGUUGUGAGUGGUUAGCCAAAGAGAUUUAUUUAACUUUUCUUCAGGAAAGGAUUUGUUUUAACCCUCGGUAAGAUGAAGGUCGGGAUAUGGGACAAGAAUUGAUUUCCUACUAACAAUCUUUCAAUAAGUAUUACUGGGAACUGUUUUUAAGGAACUCGGCAAUUGUGGGGUUGGCCUGUUUACUAAAAACACCGCCUAUAGUGGAAAAUUGUAGGUAUGACCUGCCCAAUGCGUGAAUUCGUUAAUGGCUGCAGGAUAUUCGACUGUACAAAGGUAGCAAAAGUCAUUAGCCUUUUAAUUGAAGGAUAGAAUGAAUGGUAGGACUUGACCCCGACUGUCUCAGGAGCAAGCUAAGAAUUUGGAUUUUGGGUAAAAAUACCCAGAUAAGUCGGUGGGACGAGAAGACCCUGUAGAUUUUUAUCCUCCAUGUCUUAAUCCCUUUCGCUUGAGGUUAGGAGUUGUGAGGAAUUACCUGGGAAGGGGGAGUAAAACAACUCGAAACCUAAAGACCAACAGGUCAAAUGUUGAUCCCCUAUUGGGAUAAAAGGAAUAAAAUACCUCAGGGGUAACAGCGCAAUUCACUUCUGUCGUACAAAGGUAGAAAGGGAGUUUGCGACCUCGAUGUUGAAUUGGGUUUAUCCCUAGGAUGUAGAAGGUCUAGGAGUCAGUCUGUUCGACUGUUAAAAACCCACAUGAUUUGAGUUUAGACCGACGUGAGUCAGGUCAGAUUCUAUCUACCGAUAUACUACCUCUCCCAAGUACGAAAGGAUAGGGUGAGGGAAAGAGCUUUUUAGA